rnacentral:lncRNA from 1 species
AAGGCACCCCUGGAGAGAGAAGGGGGAAAGAACUGGGACACAGCGCCAAGCAAAGUGACACACACAUACUUCAGAUGAGGACAGCCAUGCUCCAACCACCAGACUUGUAGGGACAAUCAACAGCUAACUUAAGAAUGGCCCCAGGAGCCGCCCGAACUGGGCCCCCUGCACCCGAGGGCCAAGGACGCGGGGUCCCCACUCCCGGCCACCCACUGGGACCGACCGAACUGGAAGACACCUCCUGCGGGCUCCUCCAGGGCGGACCCUGCAAGAGCUCAGGAACCAAUGUGUGAAAGUGGUUCUUGAGUGGUGUUGGGUCUGGACCACCGAGGUCUGGGGAGAGGCCCCACACGUGGGUCCCAUGACUGCAGCCUGAACCAAGCCGGAAAAUGCCAAGGUCAAAGAGCGCUUCCUUCCUUCCUUUCUUUCUUUCUUUCUUUCUUUCUUUCUUUCUUUCUUUCUUUCCAUUUAUUUGUUUCGUGUGUGUAUGCCUGUGGCCCUAUGGUUGCCACAGCGCACGUGUGGAGGUCACACAACUUGGGGAGUUGGUUCUCUUUUCACUACAUUGGGGGAUGGAACUUGGGUAGUCAGGCUUAGCUCACGCAUCUUUUUACUCACUGAGCUGUCCUGCGGGCCCGUGUGAUGCUUUCCUGCAUUCCAGUCUUAGAAAUAAAUGUUCUCUCCUAGGAUCUACACUGGAUGCUUCAGGAUAACCAUCUAAAGCAUCGCGUGUCUCUGGGUGAAAUGGAAAAUGACGUAGGAAAAUAUUGGGUGAAAUCUUGGAAAUGACUCAUACUACCAUGUAAAUGGAGCCACCCAUUUUUCAACAACUGUUCAUCAACUACCUCCUAUCUGCUCGUCACUGCCUUUUAGCGGAAUGUCCUAAUAAAGUGGAGAUUUAUAA